UUGGAAGGUGAAGUCUUUCUUUUAGACCAAUCCUCUGCAGUUGGGUUGAUUAAAAAAUAUAAAUGAAAGUAUCUCAUUUAAGCCGGGUGUGGCUAUAAUCCCAGCACUUUGGGAGGCCGAGGUGGGUGGAUCACCUGAUGUUAGGAACUCGAGACCAGCCUGGCCAACAUGGUGAAACCCUGUGUCUACUAAAACUACAAAAAUUAGCCAGGCACAGUGGUGGGCACAUGUAGUCCCAGCUACUUGGGAGGCUGAGGCAGGAGAAUCCCUUGAAUCUGGGAGGCAGAGGUUGCAGUGAGCUGAGACCGUGCAUUGCACUCCAGCCUAGGCAAUGAGAGAGAAACUCCGUCUCAAAAAAUAAAAAAGAAAAAGAAAAAAAAAAUAAAGUAUCUCAUUUAUACUUACAGAAGUAUGGAUUUUUCUGUUUGAGACCCAGAAAUCCAAACCUGUUGUUCUUAGUGACUUCUGUUCUGCCAGCACUGAGAUUUCUAAGUGGAGAGUCUAUGAGACCAACUUGGCACCAGGUGGUAGAAAUGUGUCCACAAAUGAUGGACGGCACCACAUCCUCCAUCUUUCGCUUUCCCUGAAUAUAUUCUUUCCUCAUGCCAUCACCAUCAUGGACCCAGUACUGCCUCAGAGGUGCAGUGCCUGUUUUGCAGAAUUUUAUUAGCCCAAUUAAGACCAGGACCUACAGUGGAGCAUACUGCCUUCCUGUGACUAAGAUAUCUGGGCAAAACUAUGGCACAAAGACAGGACCUGAAAUGGAGGUUCCUUUUGUCAGAUGAUAUGUAAGCUUUUUCCUUUUUAAAAAGCUGUAUCUCUCCAGUUCCUAUUUAACUUUAGAACACUUUCAUUUAUAUUUUUGCAUCAACCUUUCCAUGGAUUCAUAUGCAUGAACAAUUUACAGCUUAAUGCAGGAAUUCUCAAGUGUUAGUGUACAUUAUAAUCACACGAGAAAUGAGUUUAGAGUGCCACUGUCAAAACCCAGUUUUAAACUUAAACAUACUUUCUAAGUCAUGUAAAAUAAGAAUAAUAACAAUGUUGAUUCUAAUGACCACCAUUGGUUUAAUCAACUGAAACUCCUCUUCAAAAUUUACUCUAACUUCAGUUGUGGCAUGGAACCCAUCCUGUGACUGGACUAAGCUCUCAGUGUUCAAGUUCUGGCUGCUUCUGAGAAUUGCUAAGGGCUUCAUCUGCCUUCAAUUCAUUUGUUUUGAAUGUUUUGGAGCAUUAGAGGUAUGGCUUUCUAGCAUGCUGUUCAGUGAAGAGUUAGCUAUUGCAUACAUUACACCUUCCAUGCACUGGAAAAGGAGCAAUGAGCUUACAGGUGGUGACUGUGUAGGCCCAAAUGUCCUUGCAAGGGCACGAAUUCAAGGAAACAGUAUUUCAGGCAAACAAUCAGCAAGUACAAGUGUCAAAACUAGAGAGCAUCUCAAACUAGCAUUUGGUACUACCUCAGAACGUUAUCAGAGUACCAAAACGUGUCCAAAUUGAAAGCACCAGAGAAAUCACUUUGGCAAGUAGAAGAACGGGCAUGAGACUGCAAUAAAUUCUAUUGGAUAUUGGACAUGGGGUUGCUGUUUUACAGGCUUUGGAGUCACACUCACUCAGGUGCACAUGUUUCCACUUCUUGGUAUGACUUUAAGAUCUCAGAAUUUUCUGAAAAACAUACUUUUCUGGCCUUUUAAAUGAAUUAGUUGGGCCAAUAUUAACUGCUAUGACAAAAUACAAUAUUUCAGUGCUUUAAGACGAUAGAAAUCUAUUUCUUGCUCAUGAAACAGUAUAAUGUGGAUAUUCCCAGUCCAGAGGUGACAUUCUCCAGACAACAAGAAGAGAACCCAUGCGCCUCUGAACUUAGGGUUUCCCUUUCCUCUUGGGUGUCAGAGUUCUUGGCAACUAGCUGAUAGAUGAGGAAAUAGAAGAUGAGGAAAACACAUCCUCAUCUUAACUGCCUUUGAACAAAAGGAAUAAGUAGCACUUCUACUCAUUUAUCUUUGGCAAGGCCUGAUUAUGUGUCCCCAUGUAGAUUCAAGGGGUCAGGGGGUCAACAACUCUAAUCCCUGGCUGAUCAUCUUAUUCUCAGCACCAAUUCAAUAGCAAAGCUGAUUUUCUUCAUUCCUUGUGCUGUGGUGGGAAUGUUUGUGUUCCCCCAAAAUUGACCUGUUGAAACUAAAUCCCCAAUGUGGUGGUGUUGAGAGGUGGGGCCUUCUGAAGCUGAAUGAGAUUUGUGCUCCUAUAAAAGAUGCCCAGGAGAGCUUGUUUGCCCCUUCUGCCAUGUGAGGAUGCAGCAAGAAGGUGAGUGCGUCUGUGCAGCAGAUAGCAAGCUGUUACCAGACCUAAAAUAUGCCAGCACUUACAUUUCCUAACCUUUGGAACUAUGAGCAAUAAACUUCUGUUGUUUAUAAGCCACCCAGUUUAUGAUAUUUUUGUUGUAGCAGACCAAACAGACUGAUGCCUUGUGAUAUGGUUUCGCUGUGUCCUCACCCAAAUCUCAUCUUGAAUUUUCAUGUCUUGUGGGAGGGACCCAGUGCGAGGUAGUUGAAGCAUGGCAGCAAGUCUUUCCCAAGCUGUUCUGGUGAUAGUGAAUAAGUCUCAUAUGAUCUGAUGGUUUUAUAGAAGGAGUUCCUUCGAACAAGCUCUUUCUCUUUGCCUGCUGCUAUCCACAUAAGAUGUGACUUUCUCCCCCUUGCCUUCCUCCAGGAUUCUGAGGCCUCCCCACCCAUGUGGAACUGUAAGUCCAUUAAACCUCUUUCUUUUGUUAUUGCCCAGUCUUGGGUGUGUUUUUAUCAGCAGUAUGAAACAGAUUAAUACACCCUGUUAGGUGGUUUCAAACACUGAAACUAUCCUCACUGUGAAACUUCCUUUUGUAUAGUGUUUUGUGCUCCAUAAUGAUGGAAAAAACGGCUCAGAAGGUCUUCUCCUAAGACGUCUCAGCCUGAGUGAAUCUUGCUUUUAGUCAUGGUCUUCUCUUGCAUGUCCCGCUUGAAAUUAUAAGACAAAAUCAAUUCACUUGGUGACAAUAGAUGACUCCCAUAACAUAUUAACUAGCUGUUUUCUUCAAAGCUCUCCAGAAAUCGCAUUCUAAAGGACUUGGUACUCGUUUUGGUUCACCACAAUUUUCAACAACGUGUAAACAAAUGAAAGUUUGUUAAAUAGAUUUUUAAAACAAUUUUGUUUUGCAAUUGUAAAGCAGAAAUCACAUCUGAAACGGGUAAGUUGGAAAGGCUGGAUUCCUCGAGCUAGGUAUUCACGAGGCCUACUAGACUGUAUAAAUUCCUGGGUAUGGUGUGGUUCCAUGUAUUUUAUACUUAGAAGUGAAGUUGAUGUGUGCAUCUAGACCAGGAUGUUUCUGGAACAUUCUCCUUUCUAAUCCCAACUGGUGACUAGAGGUUGCUGAGGUGAUAAUUGUGAGGUUCUCUGAGCCCUCACCGCAGGAGAGACACCAUCCAUUGCUGUAAACAGUUUAACUGGUGGUCAGGGUUUGGCUCUACUUAGAAAGCCAGAGGCUCUCUUGGGAGUACUACCUGGUACUACAACCUGAAUAACAUCUCACCUCUCUGCUACCCUUGAAAAGGCAGCAGUCAAUCUUACUGCAUCAUAUCAAGAAAGGUUAUACUCUAUCAGCACUGACAAAAACUUGGUCUGCCAUGGACAUUGGCUCUGCCAAGGCUUCAAUUUUGGGAGUUUUAGUGAUGCAUGUGUGGCAUUUCUUGUGGACAUAUUUAGAUUUAUAUUCCACUUCAAUUUUAAUGAUUGUGAACUUUGAGCACUGGCUAUAUUUUAUUGAGUGCUUACUAUGUACCACUUGGCACUAUAAUAGGUAUUUGUGAACAUAACACAAUCUAAUUUAUAUCUCACAAUAACUUUAUGUGAGGGUAAUAUAUUGUCCCCAUAUUACAGAAAAGAAAAACAACUAAGGCUUAGAGAUGUUUUGUUUCUUGCUCAAGGCCAUAAAACAAUCAAAUGGCAAAGCUGUAUUUCCAGACCCAGCUUAACUGGACCCAGAGCCUGAGCACCAGCUUUGAGGUGAAACAGCACUGGCUUCUCAAAUAUUGCUUUCUCGCUUAUUCACCCAGUUCAUAUUUAUUGAACGGGUAUGGGGCUAAACGUUGAGAAUAUAGCAGAAUACCAAAAAGAUGGUUUUGAAGUGAAAAUUACAUAAAUAUUGAUUGAAAUGCAUUUGUGAUAAGGUCUGUAGUGAAAAAUGCAGGGUGCUUGUGAAAAUAUUUAGGAGGGAGACAAGGUUCAGUCUGGGACAUGAGAGGUGUCCCUGAGAAGGGGGCACCGAAGCUGGGAUCUAACGCUAGGUAAACUUGCCUCAAAAGGAGGGCAAAUUGUGUGCCAGGCAGAGGAGGUCGUAUGUGUGCAAGCCCUGAGAGAGGACUGGCUGGUAGAGAUUUAAUAACAAGGAAGGUCAACGUCCCUGAACUAUGGAGAGCCAGACAGAGUGGCUGGAGACGGGGUUGAUGAGGCAGGCAGAGCUGUGCUCAGAAGAGCCAGAGAAUCCACACAGAUGGUGGAGCAAAGCACAGACCAGUUGCCAGACUACAGGCAUUGUUGGAGGUUCUGGAAGGUUAAAUGUUACUGAAGGCUUUAAAAACAUUGAACAUGGGCUGGGCGCGGUGGCUCACGCCUGUAAUCCCAGCACUUUGGGAGGCCGAGGCAGGUGGAUCACGAGGUCAAGAGAUCGAGACCAUCCUGGUCAACAUGGUGAAACUCCGUCUCUACUAAAAAUACAAAAAACUAGCUGGGUACGGUGGCACGUGCCUGUAAUCCCAGCUACUCGAAAGGCUGAGGCAGGAGAAUUGCCUGAACCCAGGAGGCGGAGGUUGCGGUGAGCCGAGAUUGCACCAUUGCACUCCAGCCUGGGUAACAAGAGCGAAACUCCGUCUCAAAAAAAAAAAAAACAUUGAACAUAAUAUUUGACAGUGCAUUAAACCUUUGUGACAAGGUGUUUUCCAUAGGAGUAGCCUGUUUUGUGCUCUCCUGUAGAAUAUUAGGGUCUGGUCCCAGUGGUUCAUGCCUGUAAUCCUAGCACUUGGGAGGCCAAGAAAGGAGGAUCACUUGAGCUGGGAGUUCAAACCAGCCUGGGCAACAGAAUGAGAUCCUGUCUCUCCAAAAUGUACAAUGAAAAACACUAGCCAGGCAUGGUGUAUGUGUCUAUAGUCCUAGCUACUUAGGAGGCUGAGGCAGGAGGAUCGCUUGAACCCAGGAAAUUGAGGCUGCAGUGAGCUAUGAUUGUACCACUGCACUCCAGCCUGGGCAACAGAACCAGACCGUGUCUCCUGCACCCCCAGUCCUCCAAAAAGAAAAACUGGAUAUAUGAGAUAUGCUGUUUUGUAUGAUAAAGUUGCUACAAAUCAGAAUGUAAUUAAACGCGGUAAAAUUAAAACUGUAAUAAGAAUAAUUUUCUUGGAGGCUGCCAAUUAAAUAUAGUUAUAACUAGUAUAUAGUAUCUUCUCUUUCAUUUUUUUCCAACUUCCCACCAGAAACACAGCUGGUGACAUAAGACAAAGAAACAAACAAACAAAGAACUUACUACAAUUAAAACAGCAAUUUCUAGACAUCCUGAAACCUGGAAACCCUCUAGAUAAUGGUAAUUAGUUAUUGAACAUCUGCUAAAUACUGUGUUAAACACUUUAUAUGUUAACUUUUCCAAUAACCCUAUCAGGUAGGACUUCUAAUUUUUGAAUUUUAAAUGAUGAAGGUAAAGGUUAAUAGUUUAAAUAAAUUGUCCAAGAUUAUACAACUGGUGAGAUGUGGAACUGGGCUCUGGUGUCUGUGCUAUUGACCAAAACACCCCAUAACUUCUCCCAUGGAGAGAGCAGAGGCGUCAACGCUCUUAAACAGGUUACCAAGAGUGUUCUUGCCCAGCUUGCCCAUUUCACCCAGUCCGAGCCAAUGCUAUUGUCUUUGUUCUCUAUGUAAAUACCAACUUACUCUCCAGAGAGCCAGGGUUUAGCACAUGCUUCAUUUGGUGAGCACAAGCUAUUGCUAAUCUUCCUUUCUCUUUCCUUUUCUGCAUCCACUAUUUCUAGAAAGAGCUGGCCCACACUCUUUUCUGCAUGGCCGCAACCCAAAUGUGGCCUGAAAUAUUCCAAUCUGAGACUGAAGCACCUUCUCCUCUAGCACCCUUGUUUCAUUUAUAAUAUUUCUCAUGUGCUGAACUGAGAUGCUGGGUAAAUCCCAUCUGUUCUUCUAGCUCCUUGACACCUUUACUAUAGCAGAAAGGAAGAGAAUCGACGGGGCUGAGCCCUGAUCUGUCUCUCCCACUAGGUGAGGCCAGCUGGAGGAUGACAGAAAGAAGGUAUUUCAGGUGUUGAGAGAAAGCUCAGUGCAGCAGAGAGAAUAUGACACAGCUCCUGACAGGUCCUUGGAGCUGAGGCAUCUUAUUUAGUUGUAUUCACACCACAGGUGUUUUCCUAUGAGUAUGCAAAUAGCCAAGCAAGGCAGGUCAGCUUGGGAAGAGAAGUGCAGAGCUGUCCUCCAGGAAUGCUUUGUGCCCUGCACCCCACCCCACACCUCAUACCUGAGAUUCUGCAAUGGCUGUGAUGGUUCCUGACAUGGCCGAUACAACACUCCUGAGUCAGGUGAGUGCAUGAACAAUUGUGAUACGCUGUUGUGGUGUUGUCUUUAUCAUGCUGGGCAUGUUCAGAGAUGCAGAAUUAGGAUAAAAGAGAAAAGUCAUCUUAACCAUCUAUGCAGACCUCCGAAAAAUCUCCACAAAGAGAUUUUUGCAGCCAGACAGAUAGGGAACAGAGGGCUUAUAGGGAGGGAUAAACUUUUAUAAACGUGAAGAAAUUUUAUUUGUUAAAAGAAUUGAACAAACUUGACAUUGUUAAUAAAAUUUAUCGAUGGGUACAGGAAUUUCGUGGUGAGCAUCUCUUGCAGUCAUUGCCUGUAUUCUUGAGACUGCCAAAAGACAUAAUUUACUAAGAUCAUGUAGGAGUUUCUGAAUCACCAAAAAACCAAGGACUGCAAUUGUUUCCCCAGCAUCAGCUAGUGGCAGCACCAGCGUCAGACAGUAGAAAAACAAUGAUUAAAAAGUGAAGACAUUAUUAGAUUGUGAUCACGGUCAUUCCUUAACAAUAACAAAAAUUAAUUUGAUAGCACUCUUGUCAAAUCUUCGCAUGCCCCUUCUACUUCUGCUCUGAGCAUUCUUGUCCUCUUGGAUGUGGUCAUUGGAUUUCUUCCCAUCACUUCACAUAAAACACUCCUGCCUCAUUGCCUAAUCCAGGGACUCCUGUCAACGCUUGAGGAAUGGAGUGCUCUGCAGCCUUUGUUACUGUUAACCACUGUCCAGUAUUCUUUGAAGCGAUCUCGGUGUUUUCCUUCUUUUGCUUUAAGUAGCACUCUAUUUCCAGGCUUCUUCCUGUGUUGGGCACCGACGUACUUGUUUUUCUGGCACUCUCUUUCCUGAGAAUGGGCCCUUCCUCUCCAAACCUCACCAACACAGUUGCCGUGAGCAUGGUGGCCGUGAUGUCACAGUGAUAGAGAAUGGCUGGGUUCCUGGCUAAAUCCCAUCCUCAAGCCUGAAACCUGGGCCCUAGUGAAAACAGCUGACCAUGUUUUUCUGCCCAAAUGAUUGCCUCUUUGGCCUGCCAUGUUCCUAUCCCGUAACUAUAAAAUGACUUCAGCCGGCAGAGCAACACAAGCAACAGAUACAAGUGGUUGGUCAGGGAUACAAGCUGCUGAGCCUUGGGAGUACAUGCAGCUGAGCAUCAGAGACUAUGGAUGGCUAACUUCAGACAGUGCAGCUUCAGGGAAAGAUUCUCAGGGUCGAGAUAAGAGGCCACAGUGAGGCCUGAUGGCCUAGACCAUCACCUGCAGGAAAGCCAGCCUAGUACAUCCUCCCUGGCCCAACUGUGCCCCUGGGACAUGCUAGUUCAAAAUGGGUCGUAAAGCAGCAGAGCCAACUUGCAACAUCAACAACUCAUUUAGGCCAGGAGCUACUAAGAACAUACAUUGCAGUGGCAUUUUAAGAAGUUUUGUAAAACAGUUGAGAGUCUUCAAGCUGAGGAGCAUAGUGGCCUGCCAUCGGAAGUGGAUAGUAACCAGUUGGGAGCAGUCGUCGAGGCUGAUUCUCUUACAACUACAUAAGAAGUUGCCAAAGACCUCAGCGUCCACCAUUCUAUGGUCAUUCAACACUUAAAGCAAAUUGGAAAGGUGAAAAGGCUUGAUAAGUGGGUGUCUCAUGAGCUCAGUGAAAAUAAAAAAAUUACUGUUUUGAAGUGUGGUGUUCUCUUAUCGUACGUAGAAACAAUGGACCAUUUCUUGAUUGGAUUGUAACAGGUAAUGAAAAGUGUAUUUUAUGUGACAACUAGUAAUGACCAGCUCAGUGGCUGGACUGAUAAGAAGCUUCAAAGCCAAACCUGUAUCCAAAAAAGUUUACAGUCACUGUUUGGUGGUCAGCUGCUGGUCUGAUCCACUACAGCUUUCUAAAUCACAGUGAAACCAUUACAUCUGAGAGGUAGACUCAGCAAAUAUAUGAGAUACAUUGAAAAUUAUAGCACUUGCAACUGGCAUCAGUCAACAGAAAGGGCCCAAUUCUUCUCCAAAAACUCCUGACCACACAUUGCACAACCAAUGCUCCAAAAUUUAAAUGAGUUGGGCCAGGAGGUUUUGCCUCAUCCGCCAUAUUCGCCUGAUUUCUUGCCGGCCUACUACAACUUCUUCAAGCAUCUCAACAACUUUUGCAGGGAAAAUGCCUGCACAACCAGUGGGAUGCAGAAAAUGCUUUCCAAGAAUUAGUCAAAUCCUGAAGCAUAUAUUUUUAUAUGCUACAAGAAUAAACACUUAUUUCUCACUGGCAAAAAUGUGUUGAUUGUAAUGGUUCCUAUUUUGAUUAAUAAAGAUAUGUUUAAGCCUAGUUUUAAUGAUUUAAAAUUCAUGGUCCAAAACUGCAAUUACUUUUGCACCAAUCUACUUUGAAAAUGCUAAUAAAAAACUGAUGUGUUCAUGAAGAUUGCUAACCCAGAGUCAAGCAGAACAAGAAUUAAUUACAUGGGUCUGAACUGAUAGGCUGAAAUAAUAUCUUAUGACUUUUUGUUUGAAACAUUGCUGAUUAUUUUAAUAUUUUGUUUUCCAGAAUAAAGACAACUUUUUUUUUGAGCUAUUGAUCACUUACAGCA